rnacentral:rRNA from 1 species
ACGAACGCUGGCGGCGUGCCUAAUACCUGCAAGUCGAACGCUUCUUUCCUCCCGAGUGCUUGCACUCAAUUGGAAAGAGGAGUGGCGGACGGGUGAGUAACACGUGGGUAACCUACCCAUCAGAGGGGGAUAACACUUGGAAACAGGUGCUAAUACCGCAUAACAGUUUAUGCCGCAUGGCAUAAGAGUGAAAGGCGCUUUCGGGUGUCGCUGAUGGAUGGACCCGCGGUGCAUUAGCUAGUUGGUGAGGUAACGGCUCACCAAGGCCACGAUGCAUAGCCGACCUGAGAGGGUGAUCGGCCACACUGGGACUGAGACACGGCCCAGACUCCUACGGGAGGCAGCAGUAGGGAAUCUUCGGCAAUGGACGAAAGUCUGACCGAGCAACGCCGCGUGAGUGAAGAAGGUUUUCGGAUCGUAAAACUCUGUUGUUAGAGAAGAACAAGGACGUUAGUAACUGAACGUCCCCUGACGGUAUCUAACCAGAAAGCCACGGCUAACUACGUG